AUGAACGCUGGCGGCGUGCCUAAUACCUGCAAGUUGAGCGAACAGACGAGGAGCUUGCUCCUCUGACGUUAGCGGCGGACGGGUGAGUAACACGUGGAUAACCUACCUAUAAGACUGGGAUAACUUCGGGAAACCGGAGCUAAUACCGGAUAAUAUAUUGAACCGCAUGGUUCAAUAGUGAAAGACGGUUUUGCUGUCACUUAUAGAUGGAUCCGCGCCGCAUUAGCUAGUUGGUAAGGUAACGGCUUACCAAGGCGACGAUGCGUAGCCGACCUGAGAGGGUGAUCGGCCACACUGGAACUGAGACACGGUCCAGACUCCUACGGGAGGCAGCAGUAGGGAAUCUUCCGCAAAGGGCGAAAGCCUGACGGAGCAACGCCGCGUGAGUGAUGAAGGUCUUCGGAUCGUAAAACUCUGUUAUUAGGGAAGAACAAAUGUGUAAGUAACUAUGCACGUCUUGACGGUACCUAAUCAGAAAGCCACGGCUAACUACGUG
rnacentral:rRNA from 1 species